rnacentral:lncRNA from 1 species
GACAAUGGUGUUGUGGAGGUUAUAAUAUUCACGACACCUCUUGUAGCAGUGGCAGUGCUGCUGGGUUUGCUGCCAUUCACUUGGGAAACUAUUACUUUAUUAACACUUUUGGGAUCAGCUUUUGGCCUCUGUGACAAAAGAUUGUAAGGUAUGAAUAUCAGUAUUAAAAGACUUAGCUGUUUUCUAGGGAUAUAGACACUUGAGCAAUGAAAGAAAAGGGUUACCUGGUUUACCCCAUUAAUGGAGUCUUUAGCAAUCACUUCUUCAGUUUCUUUUUUGCUUCUGUUUUGAAUCCUGUUGUGUUGUUGUGAAUUAGUAUCAAUCUCACCCAACGGGUUUCUUCGAUAAGGAGAUUGCUCUGCUUUUCUUGAUGAGCUGCGGCUAAGAGAUGGCUGCUGCUGAUUUUCGUCGGAAGCUUUAACAUUUCCGUUGUUCCUUGCAGGAGACUGUGAACGAGGUGAUGAAGCAACCCUUGAACCUGUCAUGGCCGUGGCCUCGCCAACGUUUCUUUUAACUGAUAUCCUCUUAACCCCGGUCACAGUCGCUGAAUCAUUCCCACCACAACCAACAUUGGCGGCAC